UCGAACGAAGCACUCUAUUUGAUUUUCUUCGGAAAUGAAGAUUUUGUGACUGAGUGGCGGACGGGUGAGUAACGCGUGGGUAACCUGCCUCAUACAGGGGGAUAACAGUUGGAAACGACUGGUAAUACCGCAUAAGCGCACAGCUUCGCAUGAAGCGGUGUGAAAAACUCCGGUGGUGUGAGAUGGACCCGCGUCUGAUUAGGUAGUUGGUGAGGUAACGGCCCACCAAGCCGACGAUCAGUAGCCGACCUGAGAGGGUGACCGGCCACAUUGGGACUGAGACACGGCCCAGACUCCUACGGGAGGCAGCAGUGGGGAAUAUUGCACAAUGGAGGAAACUCUGAUGCAGCGACGCCGCGUGAGUGAAGAAGUAUUUCGGUAUGUAAAGCUCUAUCAGCAGGGAAGACAGUGACGGUACCUGACUAAGAAGCUCCGGCUAAAUACGUGCCAGCAGCCGCGGUAAUACGUAUGGAGCAAGCGUUAUCCGGAUUUACUGGGUGUAAAGGGAGUGUAGGUGGUAUCACAAGUCAGAAGUGAAAGCCCGGGGCUCAACCCCGGGACUGCUUUUGAAACUGUGGAACUGGAGUGCAGGAGAGGUAAGUGGAAUUCCUAGUGUAGCGGUGAAAUGCGUAGAUAUUAGGAGGAGCACCAGUGGCGAAGGCGGCUUACUGGACUGUAACUGACACUGAGGCUCGAAAGCGUGGGGAGCAAACAGG
rnacentral:rRNA from 1 species